GAUUUUAUUUAUUUAUUCAUGAGCCUGAUGCUGGACUCCUCCAAGGUCCCUGGGACCAUGACCUGAGCUGAAUGAAGGCAGACUCUCAACCACUGAGCCAUCUUGGUACCCUAUUUUUCUUUUUGUUUUGACUAUAUCCUUUCUUUAGUUUUUUUGCAAAUACUUGUCUUUUUCUUACAGAUACAGAAGACCUCCUCACACGUUCAGGAUAGUAAUCCCCCGGCCCCUUUUUUUUUUUCUUGAUAGUAACUCUUUUGACAGAACAUGAGAGACUCCUAACUCUGGGAAACAAACAAGGGGUAGUGGAAGGGGAGGUGGGCGGGGGGAUGGGGUGACUGGGUGAUGGGCACUGAGGGGGGCACUUGACGGGAUGAGCACUGGGUGUUAUGCUAUAUGUUGGCAAAUCGAACUCCAAUAAAAUAAUAUACAAAAAGAAGGAUGGUAACCCUUUGUUAAUAUAUUGGCAAGUUUUUCCAGGCUUGCCAUUUGCCUUAAUUAUAUUUAUGAUUUUUUUUAAUGUACAGAAGUGUUUUAUUUUUAUGUUUUAUGCAGUAGAAACUAUUAAUCUUUAUGUUUUCUAGCUUAGCCUGUAUAGGCUUACAAAGUCUUCUCUGUAAGUCCCACAGACUUUUGUCAAUAAAUCAUAGCCAUGUACUAUACUGUCUUGUCAUAGCUCUUCUAUUUUUGUGCAAGGUCAAUAGAGACUCAAGGCCAGGAAGAGCUCUUAUGCUUACUUUCUGCUUACAUGUCCUGUGCUUAGUCGAUUACAAUUCAUUCACUAAAAACAUAUUUUAAGGGAUGCCUGGGUGCCUCAGUGAUUGAGCAUCUGCCUUUGGCUCAGGGCGUGAUCCCAAGGUCCUGGAAUCGAGUCCCACAUCCGGCUCCCUGCAUGGAGCCUGCCCCUCUGCUUCUCUCUGUUUCUCAUGAAUAAAUAAAUUCUUUAAAAAUAUAUAUAUUUUAAUUGACCACCUCCUGUAUUCCAGGAUUAUCAAAUGUAGAUGACAUAGACACCUGUACACAACUACUUCUUUGUGAAUUUUACCAGCAUGGACCGAGUAAUUUGCGUGAGAACAUGCAGCGACAAGGGCGGGAAGGGAAGCGGAUGAAUUUUUUUAAAGUCCCUGCCCCUUGGAAAUUUAAAGUUUAAUGCACCCUUGAGGUUUUAAAGAAACGAGAUUUAGAAGGCAUGUGAAUAACUGCAAUACAAGGGAGAAAAUAUAAGUAGCUUGGGAGAUGGGUAAAACUUCUCAGCACUCCCACACUGGGGAUCAUGGAGGGCCUGUAGAGAAAGUUGCCUCUGAAGUAAGCUUUCCAGAUGGGAGUUAAGGAGAGAGCACUCUCUUCCUCCUGCCCUCAUGGACGAGGAAGCAGGCACAGUUGACCCAACCUCUCCCUGUAGUACUAUAAAAAAAGGUUACCAGUGAAAUAUGUUUGUAUCAACCCACAAUGCCCAGAGGAGGAGCUCAGAGAAAAGAGUUAGCACUUCUUGGUACUUCCUUUGGCAUUUACAAUUGUUUGUGGUAUUGUGGGGGGUGUAGAUAAUUUUCUUUGUUACAUAGUUAAAUCUUCUCAUUUUGUGUUUUCCAAAGAUGGCUGCACUAAUAUAUAUCCCACCUCACAUGCUCUUCUUAGAAUGUGACUGUAACAGGUUUCAUUGAGAGAUGGAGUCUAUGUUCCCUCCCACUGAGCCUGGGUGGGCUUCCCUAAUUGCUCAACCAGUAGAAUGUGUCAGAAGUGCUGCUGCAUGAUAUCCAAGGCUAGGUCCUAAAAAGCACUCCUAGCUGGCUCUCCUCUCUCUUGAGACGCUUGCUCUCUAAACCCAGCCCAACGUUGUGAGGAAGUCCAGGCCACACGAAGGCCACAUAGGUCUCAUCAACAACCCCUGCCAGGUUCCUGGUCAACAGCAAGACCAGUGAACAGGAGGAGUUGAGGCUCAUGAUGUGAUUUACAUCUUGGAACAAGUCUCCUGAAGAUUUGGGGUGGGGGUGAGGGGGAUCGGGGGGUGGGCAACAGAUCAGGCAGGGAGGCAGGGAGAAAGAUGGCAGGCUAUAGCCAUAACCCAGCACAGAGAUGAUGUGGUUAGGGUAUAGCAGUGGGGUAGUGAGAAGUAGUCCUAUCUGGGAAAUGCUGUGAAGGUAGAGUUGAUGAGAUUUGCUGAUGGAUUGAUGGGAGUUGGGAGACAAAGAGAGGAGUCAGUGAUAAUGCCUGGAUUGUUAGCCUGAGCAGUUGAGUAUUGGGUAAGUGAUGGUGUCAUUUAUUCAGAUGAGAACAGCUGAGGGAAGAGCAGCUUUUCAAGGCAGGAUAGUCAAUAAUUUGAUCCUGGGUGUGUUCUAGGAAGAGCCUGUUAGACAUCCAAAUGGAAAAGCUGACUAAACAGUGGGAAUUGUGAGUCUAGGGCUCAGAGUAGUUUAAGCUGGAGAUACAAAUGUGGGAAUCAUGGCAUACAGAUGGCAUUCUAGAUAUUAUUGCUGUGUAAGAAAUGACCCCAAAACUUGGCUGUUUUAAAAUGGGGUCAGGACAGGUUCUUGCAUUGACCAUUGGCUGGGCCCAGAACCAGGCCUCUCUAAGGGGCACUACCUGGGGGCUCAACUGAGCUCAACUCCUCAGUCCCACAAAGACGAUCAGUCAGUACCUCCAGGCUCUCAAGUGCUCAGUCUUCCAUAACACAAGGCAGGGGGGAUGGUGGUGGCCAUAGAUGCCUCCUAUAGAGAGGGGGUGGCCCCAACCCAGAAAAACCUUCCUUUUAGAUUUAUUUUAUUUUAUUUGACAGAGAGCACAAGCAGGGGAAGCAGCAGGCAGAGGGAGAAACAGGCUCUCGGCUGAGCAGGGAGCCCAACUCUGGACUUGAUCCCAGGAACUGGGAUCAUGACCUGAGCUGAGGCAGACAACCGACUGAGCCACCCAAGUGCCCCUAGAAAACGAUUUUUGCCCCUUAUUCCUUUUUUUUUUUUUUUAGAUUUUAUUUAUUUAUUCAUGAGAGACACACAGAGAGAGAAAGGCAGAGACACCGGCAGAGGGAGAAGCAGACUCCAUGCAGGGAGCCCGACAGGGACU
rnacentral:lncRNA from 1 species